AUGCAACGAAGGUUGCACUGUGGUAGUGGGGAACAGGAAGUUCCCGGCACGCGGGCACCAUUCUUCAGAAUAAAGAAAGCGCCAGAACAGUGCAGUCAAGAAGAUAACCGUUGUAUGUGUCCGUUUCAAUUUACUACUACAGACCGACUCAGAUUAAGUCUGAGGCCGGUAACAUCAACAGUGAGGACAAACCCAGCCUGCCUCUCUCCUUCCACACUGAGUCCAAACCUACAGUCACUGGGUCCUGAUUGUGACAGUGGAGCCCAGUUUGCACUGCAGGAUCCAGAGAUGGCAUCAGUGAAGCUGGAAGACUGCAGUCAAACACUGAAGCUGAAUGUCAUCAUUAAAGAUGAAGAAGAGGAGGAGAAGAUUGGUAAGAGCAGGUUCUAUCUAUAAAUUAGACCUUAAGUUAUGACCCAGUCUAAUACUAUGUUGACUUCUGUAAUUCUGACAUCAAACAUCACUGAACAACUGGAUUAUCUGGAGUGAUCAGAGAGCAGACUGAAGAAGUGAAGUAGACAAACUGCCAGUGUUUUAAAGUUCUAUGAAAUGAGUCUGUGUAGUUACUAAUCCUUGUUAUAGUGAGUGGAGGAUGAUAUGAAAUGAGUCUGUGUAGUUACUAACCCUUGUGAUAGUGAGUGGAGGAUGAUAUGAAAUGAGUCUGUAGUUACUAACCCUUGUGAUAGUGAGUGGAGGAUGAUAUGAAAUGAGUCUGUGUAGUUACUAACUCUUGUGAUAGUGAGUGGAGGAUGAUAUGAAAUUAGUCUGUGUAGUUACUAACUCUUGUGAUAGUGAAUGGAGGAUGAAUUUUUAUUUUUUUAUUUCACCUUUAUUUAACCAGGUAGGCAAGUUGAGAGCAAGUUCUCAUUUACAAUUGCGACCUGGCCAAGAUAAAGCAAAGCAGUUNNNNNNNNNNUAGACCCUGCCACAUACCUCUUGUUUUAGCCGUUGAAUUGUGACUCUACUUUGUCUCUAUACUGGUGCUUAGCUUGUUUGAUUGCCUUGCGGAGGGAAUAGCUACACUGUUUGUAUUCGGUCAUGUUUCCGGUCACCUUGCCCUGGUUUAAAGCAGUGGUUCGCGCUUUCAGUUUCACGCGAAUGCUGCCAUCAAUCGACAGUUUCUGGUUUGGGAAUGUUGUAAUCGUUGCUAUGGAAACGACGUUGUCAAUGCACUUUCUAAUGAACGGNNNNNNNNNNCACGUGAUCGAAGCUAUCAAAAUAGUUUAACCUUCUUUUUUGUUGUUGCAAUAAUCACUGAUCUGGCUUUCAAUUCUGUCUAUGAAAAUGACUUUGUUAAAAAAGUACUAACUUAUUGUAGCAGGCAUUAGCCUAUAGAAAAGGAACACAGGUCUGUCUCAUCAACAGUCUCUCAAGCCCACGUGCUAGUGAUUAGCCAGCUAAUCUUUAUAUAACAAGUUUAGUCAACUUGGAUCUAUUUGCUAACAAGGUUGAACAGUUGAAUUGUUAUGAAAACACCAUUCUGUCUCCAACUGUUUGAAANNNNNNNNNNUCUGUCUCAUCAACAGUCUCUCAAGCCCACGUGCUAGUGAUUAGCCAGCUAAUCUUUAUAUAACAAGUUUAGUCAACUUGGAUCUAUUUGCUAACAAGGUUGAACAGUUGAAUUGUUAUGAAAACACCAUUCUGUCUCCAACUGUUUGAAAAGCUUGUUAGCCUGUCCACUUUGUUCAGAUGUUAAAUCAAGGGGCCAACCUUGUAGCUCAAAAUGAGAACGAGUUGCCAA
rnacentral:lncRNA from 13 species